ACACAUUAUGACAGCUGUGAUGUCAUAAUGUCACUAGGCAAUAGAAAUUUUUUAGUUCCCUUUUAAUUUUAGGAAACGACUGUAGUAUAUGAGAUCCAUUGUGGUAUAUGUUGACUGAAACAUCAUUAGGUGGUACAUGAAUGUAUUUGACAUUAAGGGCUGAACAGAAAGCAUGGCUUUUGAGGCCUCAGGAAACACAAUCAUGGUGCAAGGUGAAGAAGAAGGGGGCACAUCUUACAUCGCCAAAGGAAGAGGGAGAGAGAGCAAAGACGGAGGUGCUACACACUUUUAAACAAUCAGAUCUUGUGAGAGCUCACUCACUGUCAUGAGAACGGCAACGGGGAAAUCUAUCCCCAUGAUUGAAUCACCUCCAAGCAGGCCCCUCUGUUUAACACUGGAGAUUACAAUUCGACCUUAGAUUUAGGUGGGGACACAAAUCCAAA
rnacentral:lncRNA from 10 species